UUCGGUAAGAAAUACCAAUGUUUUUUAUGUUUUGCUACCUUUGUUUUUAUAUUGUAUGUUCGCAGUCUAUUGGAAACGUUUUGAGUGAAUAAAGGACCUUGAUAUUUUACUUGCAAUUAAAUAAUUUCACCCAGUCAUUCCCAAUACAUUACAGAAGUGGCGACGAGAGGUGUUAACACUUCAUAAAAAGUGUCAGAACCCAGUGUAAUAGUGUUUUUUUUUUUGGACAAACAGUAUUUUGGCUCGCGAAAAUGCCAGAUCCACAAACAAAUCGAAAUCCAUCAUAUUAUGGACAAGUACGGGAAUUCAGUGCUCAAGAUAGAGACUGGGGAAAAGUCAACUUCCAAGUUUGCAGAUGUUUUAGAAACUGCAUUGGCGGAAAUGGCGUCAGAGGAUAAUUAUGCCAGCAGCAGACAACCAUUCAUCAAAUCGGAACCAGAAGUACAUCAUGUUUCUUCAAGAAAAUA